rnacentral:misc_RNA from 1 species
UCCGGCUUAUCACCGGCGGUUUCUUUAGAGUGCCCAACUAAAUGAUGGCAACUAAAGACGAGGGUUGCGCUCGUUGCGGGACUUAACCCAACACCUCACGGCACGAGCUGACGACAGCCAUGCAGCACCUGUAUGAAAGUCAGUACCAUCCCGUUAAGGACUGGUUUUGUUGUUCAUAUGUCAAGGGCUGGUAAGGUUGUUCGCGUUGCAUCGAAUUAAUCCACAUCAUCCACCGCUUGUGCGGGUCCCCGUCAACUCCUUUGAGUUUUAACCUUGCGGCCGUACUCCCCAGGCGGCUCACUUCACGCGUUAGCUACGGUACCAAGGAAUCGCUUCCCCAACACCUAGUGAGCAUCGUUUAAGGCCAGGACUAC